rnacentral:misc_RNA from 1 species
UCUCCGUUGGUGAACCAGCGGAGGGAUCACUACCGAGUUAUCAACUCCCAAACCCCUGUGAACAUACCCAACGUUGCUUCGGCGGGGCCGCCCCGGCGCCCUCGGCGUCCCGGAACCAGGCGCCCGCCGGAGGACCCAAACUCUUGUUUAAACCAUAGUGGCAUAUUCUGAGUCUCACAAGAAAAAUGAAUCAAAACUUUCAACAACGGAUCUCUUGGCUCUG